CAAAAAUAGAAUUCCUACUUUCUUCCACCACCCCCGGUGUCAGAGAUUAGCUUGCUGCGCAACGGGACCGGCCGGAAAUAAUGGGUACCUUGGCAGCCCUCUGGGCUCUGUUUGUUUUGAAGUCGCCGCGACGCCCCGGCCAAAUUUUGGUAAGUCCCCUGGGUGUGCACAACCGAGGUCCCUUGUCCUUGCUCAUUUGGGAAGAUCUGCAUAGCAGAUGUUCAUUUUUUGGGCGCCCCCGAGUGUAGGACACGGACUAAGCUGGGACUGGAAGCACUUUGGUUUCUAGUUUUGGUCUUUGUUUUGGCUUCCGUUUGUGGCCAAGGGUUUUUGGGAAUGUGCGCUUGUUUGGUAUUUGUUGUUAUCUGUCUGUCUGUCUGUCCUUUCAAAAGUGUUAACAUGGGAGAUGCUCAUUUAUUCCACCUAAGAGCCCAUUGGGAAAAACUUUGGCUGAUGGUCGACCUAUAGCCAUAAGGCAAUGUCUAAAGAGGGAUGAUUUUCUUUUGUAACACCACGUGGCCACAAUAUUCUUUAGACUCUGG